ACGCAGUAACCCUAAGUGAUAAUGUGAUAUGCUGGCUGGCGGCCGCCAUCAGGGUUUAUCACGUUGUCGCCUGUCGUCAUUGUGGGUCGACCUCCUCCUCCCACUAACGAUGAUGUUGGGACAUAGCGCAAGGGCUUUGAGUACCAUUUUACUAUAGUGUUUUAAUGGGACAAUGAAAUCUAAUGAAUAUGGUCUAUCCCAUCUGAUGGCAACUGCAUUGAUUUAUGACCAAGUGUAAAGAGCAUACUGUUUUGCUUUUCUUCCUUCAUUCAUGUCUUCCUACAGGUUAUGUAACUGAAUCAAUUUAAUUGCGUUUAGAAAAUGCCUGUUCUUUGGUGCCAUUACCUAUAAAUUUCAUCAUCCAUAGCUAGACAAUGGUGGUGAUGGUUAUUAUGGGUACAAUCUAAUCAUCUACUCUUUUAUUCUGAUUGGCAUUACCUAUCUGAAACUCUUGUUUCUCAAGGUGAUAGGCCACAUUCUUUCUCGUUGUGAGUGUGAUCCUUUUUUGGUGAUGGAUAACAGUUUUUUCCUCUUGAGAAUCAAACUUGGAACCUCCCAUAUCCUCACUCCAACCCCUUCCCUUUUGACUGAAGCCUGAAGUGCCUAUUUUCCCUUUCUAUGACAUAUGACAUGCUCCUGAGCAACCUAGUCGACUCCCAAAUUUACCUUGUUCACUUUGCUUAUGAUUUUAGACAACUGUAAUUGGUAGGGAUCAGAAUUAGUUGAGUUGAGCUUUAUAUUUAUGACCUUUUUAGUUGUACGAUCCAUGGAGGAAAUGUUUGCAAAGAUGAUCUUUAUUUGAUAAGCAACUUGGAAGGUUGGUUUCAAGGUUCCCAAAUUGAAAAAAUGGAGGAUGAAGAAAAUAUAGCUAUUAAACACAAGAAGUUUAAGCACAAAGUCAUAACCCAGUAGCCAAAGAUGAAGUCAGAAUGGGAAAUAAUUCAACCCUAGAAACAGUCCUCCCAUGAAUGCUUCAGGAAAUUAGUCUCAGAAAAUGUCAAUCCAUGAAUCAACUUAAAACCAUCUAACCAAAAUAAAUAAGUAAAUAAAAAUAAAAAAUGGAAAAACUGAUGUACCACUUGCAUAAGAUUAGCAUCACUCAUAGGCCCAAUGGUCCAUAGGUGAGUGACCCUUUCAGGCUUUUGAAGGUGAUCUACCAUAUUGUUGGAUUUGCUUAACUUCUAGUCUAGUACAUAAUAUGAAUAUCCAGAAAAACAUGGAUUAUUUUUUCUCAUUUUAUUCCUAGGGUAUGGUUACAUGAUUUAGAGGAAAGGAAGUUUCUAAUGGUCAUUGGAGUACAUUGUAUGGUAUGCUGUUUGAUUGGUUGCCAAGGUAACUUAGCUUUAUAUAUAGGUUCUUCUCAAUGCAAACUGGAGAAUGCCUUGAGACUUUAUAAAACAUGCACUAGUUUUAUUAUGCUUAGACAUUCAAGGUUUAGCUGGGGAUGCAUCUUUUCGUGCCUCAAUUUUUCUUGUGUACAAGCCAUACAUAAUAUUUCUAUAAUGAUGUUUAUUAUAUUUUUAUGUAUAUCUUACCAAAAUUUUUAGAUAUAUGCAUGUGCAUGCACUAAGUAUGCAUUUAUGCUGACAUUACCAUGUGUCUUUAUGGAAUCAUGUUCUAUUGGUUUUCUAUUUCUAUGGAUAUUAUUUUCAUAUUUUCAUCUUUGACUUAUUGUUCUCUGUGCAAGAGUGUUUGACUUUGCUAGUGCCCUUCUAAUAAGAUGUUUAAAAUUUGUUUCUAGUCAAGAGGGUAUAUCAUCUUUGCUCUUGAUGGCUUAAUUUCACAAAAAAAUUUGUUGCCAGAUGAUGUUGGGACAUAGCGCAAGGGCUUUGAGUACCAUUUUACUUUAGUGUUUCAAUGGGACAAUGAAAUCGAAUGAAUAUGGUCUAUCCCAUCUGAUGGCAGCUGCAUUGAUGUAUGACCAAGUGUAAAGAGCAUACUGUUUUGCUUUUCUUCCUUCAUUGAUGUCUUCCUACAGAUUAUGUAACUGAAUCAAUUCAAUUGUGUUUAGAAAAUGCCUUUUCUUUGGUGCCAUUACCUACAAACUUCAUCCAUAACUAGACAAUGGCGGUGGUGGUUGUUAUGGGUACAAUCUAAUCAUCUGCUCUGUUAUUUUGAUUGGCA